UUCAUUCGAAUAUGUGAACCAGGGUAUGUCUUAUCCAAGGUAUACAAGUAUCCAGGUAGCUUCCCAUAAGACGCAGCUGGUUGCCCCAUUAUCGAUUCUAAUGCCUUCUCUUUUGCUCGCCAUGCCAACAUGUAGUUAAUAUCAAUACCCAAGUCCAAUCUAACGUCAUCCCUGAUAUCAUUUGGAGUGUACUUCCUCUUGUGAUUUCUCAAUUUAGGUGCGAUUAUUCCUCCAAUCAAUCCACUUGUUGCACGACAAUCUGAAUGCACCCCAUCCUUUAAAGGACAUGUAUGUUCAGAGUUAAAAACUCUAAUUCUGAAC
rnacentral:lncRNA from 1 species